AGAAAUAUCGCGUCGAACCUGUCGUGUUUGCUCGGCGAUAAUAUCCUUCUUCGUCCUUGGUAUCCUAUCAUCUUAUUUCUUUCUUUCGCCAACGUCACCUUACAUCAAGUGGGAAUGUCGCCGGGAUUCUUUACCCGGUACUAUCACGUUCAGAAUUGACAACAAAGAUGACGAUGUAAAUGAAUAAUUAUCAACACGGGAGUUUAAUUAUUAUUGAAUAAAAAAAUAUCAUAAAUUUCUAAACCAAUACCACACAUAAUGGUGAUUUUGAAAUGUUUGUGAGAAAAUGAUCGAUGUUAAAUGACUCCAUUACAUGUAUAUUUACCACUGAGUUAGAUGAAUUCAGUCAACAAUUUAUACCGGUAUGUAUACACUCCCAUAUGUAUAUAUCGAAAACUUUUGCACACUUCAACCACACCCCUCCCCUCGUCGAUAGUAAUCUUGGAUUUUUUGGGCAAAUUCACCAACGUCGGGCAAAUUUUUGGCCCUCUUCCCUAAUUUUUUUUGUUUUCGCGCUAUCUGUUGCAUGAGGAGGCCUAAUUUAAAUCUAUGAUUCACUGUCAAUCAGCAGUUGAUUCAAUAUACAGCAUAGGCAUUUUGAUUUUAGCCAAUUGUCUACCUUUUUAUAGAAUUUUGUUCGAAUGGAGGGUAUUCUAUUUGAUGUGGUGGAUCUGAGACAUAAAAUUGGUGUGGAUUUUGCUCUGAAGAAGAAUUUUACUGGUAAAAUUUUAAUAUCUGUGGCACGAGUAUAUAAAAUAUACUCUCAAUUUAAUUAACGCUGCAGUCCUACUGUAUAUGCAAA
rnacentral:lncRNA from 1 species